UACGUAGGGUGCGAGCGUUGUUCGGAAUUACUGGGCGUAAAGCAUGCGUAGGCGGUUUAGUAAGUUAGAUGUGUAAUCCCCGGGCUUAACUCGGGAGCUGCAUUUAAGACUGCUAGACUAGAAUAUGGUAGGGGGUAGUGGAAUUCUUAGUGUAGGGGUAAAAUCCGUAGAUAUUAAGAGGAACACCAGAAGCGAAGGCGACUACCUAGGCCAUUAUUGACGCUGAGGCAUGAAAGCGUGGGGAGCAAACAGG
rnacentral:rRNA from 1 species